AGCGAACGCUGGCGGCAGGCUUAACACAUGCAAGUCGAGCGGGCGUAGCAAUACGUCAGCGGCAGACGGGUGAGUAACGCGUGGGAACAUACCUUUUGGUUCGGACAACACAGGGAAACUUGUGCUAAUACCGGAUAAGCCCUUACGGGGAAAGAUUUAUCGCCGAAAGAUUGGCCCGCGUCUGAUUAGCUAGUUGGUGAGGUAACGGCUCACCAAGGCGACGAUCAGUAGCUGGCUGAGAGGAUGAUCAGCCACAUUGGGACUGAGACACGGCCCAAACUCCUACGGGAGGCAGCAGUGGGGAAUAUUGGACAAUGGGCGCAAGCCUGAUCCAGCCAUGCCGCGUGAGUGAUGAAGGCCCUAGGGUUGUAAAGCUCUUUCGGCGGGGACGAUGAUGACGGUACCCGCAUAAGAACG
rnacentral:rRNA from 1 species